rnacentral:rRNA from 1 species
ACUUUGAUCAAUAGCUGAUUUGAGAGGAUGAUCAGCCACAUUGGGACUGAGACACGGCCCAAACUCCUACGGGAGGCAGCAGUGGGGAAUCUUGCACAAUGGAGGAAACUCUGAUGCAGCGAUGCCGCGUGAGUGAAGAAGGCCCUUGGGUUGUAAAGCUCUUUCGUCGGGGAAGAAAAUGACUGUACCCGAAUAAGAAGGUCCGGCUAACUUCGUGCCAGCAGCCGCGGUAAUACGAAGGGACCUAGCGUAGUUCGGAAUUACUGGGCUUAAAGAGUUCGUAGGUGGUUGAAAAAGUUGGUGGUGAAAUCCCAGAGCUUAACUCUGGAACUGCCAUCAAAACUUUUCAGCUAGAGUAUGAUAGAGGAAAGCAGAAUUUCUAGUGUAGAGGUGAAAUUCGUAGAUAUUAGAAAGAAUACCAAUUGCGAAGGCAGCUUUCUGGAUCAUUACUGACACUGAGGAACGAAAGCAUGGGUAGCGAAGAGGAUUAGAUACCCUCGUAGUCCAUGCCGUAAACGAUGUGUGUUAGACGUUGGAAAUUUAUUUUCAGUGUCGCAGCGAAAGCGAUAAACACACCGCCUGGGGAGUACGACCGCAAGGUUAAAACUCAAAUGAAUUGACGGGGACCCGCACAAGUAGUGGAGCAUGUGGUUUAAUUCGAAGAUACGCGCAGAACCUUACCAACACUUGACAUGUUCGUCGCGACUCUAAGAGAUUAGAGUUUUCGGUUCGGCCGGACGAAACACAGGUGCUGCAUGGCUGUCGUCAGCUCGUGUCGUGAGAUGUUGGGUUAAGUCCCGCAACGAGCGCAACCCUCACUUUUAGUUGCCAUCAUUAAGUUGGGCACUCUGAAAGAACUGCCAGUGAUAAGCUGGAGGAAGGUGGGGAUGACGUCAAGUCCUCAUGGCCCUUACGUGUUGGGCUACACACGUGCUACAAUGGUAUCUACAACAGGAAGCAAGACGGCGACGUCAAGCA